rnacentral:rRNA from 1 species
CAGUCGCCGCGGGAAUACGUAGGUGGCAAGCGUCGUCCGGAAUUAUUGGGCGUAAAGGGCUCGCAGGCGGUUUCUUAAGUCUGAUGUGAAAGCCCCCGGCUCAACCGGGGAGGGUCAUUGGAAACUGGGAAACUUGAGUGCAGAAGAGGAGAGUGGAAUUCCACGUGUAGCGGUGAAAUGCGUAGAGAUGUGGAGGAACACCAGUGGCGAAGGCGACUCUCUGGUCUGUAACUGACGCUGAGGAGCGAAAGCGUGGGGAGCGAACAGGAUUAGAGACCCCAGUAGUCCCUGUCUCUUAUAC